rfam:Schistosoma rodhaini strain Burundi genome assembly, scaffold: SROB_scaffold0000005
UGCUGAGGAGUCCCACAAUAGGACGAAACGACCGUCCA